UACGUAGGGGGGCAAGCGUUGUUCGGAAUUACUGGGCGUAAAGAGCGCGUAGGCGGUGUGGUUAGUUCGGUGUUUAAAAUCUCCCGGCUUAACUGGGAGCUGUCGCCCGAAAAACGGCCAUGCUAGAGUGUGGGGAGAGGAGAGUGGAAUUCCCCGGUGUAGCGGUGAAAUGCGUAGAUAUCGGGAGGAACACCAGUGGCGAAGGCGGCUCUCUGGACCACGACUGACGCUGAGGCGCGAAGGCGUGGGGAGCGAACGGG
rnacentral:rRNA from 1 species